rnacentral:sRNA from 1 species
CCUCGCGGCGUCGCGGCGCGCCGUCUCCCCCUCGUCACGCGAGCGCGAGCUUCGUGGCGUCGGGUUUCCACACGAUGCAUCACCUGAAUGACUGAGUCCCGAAUAGACUUGGAUGGAGGAGUGGGUGCGUUUCGUGCCCUCGAGCGAGCUCGGGGUGCGCGGCGCGCGCCGGUUACCUUACGACGAGUUGAAACUUAACAAAGAACAACUCUCAGCAACGGAUAUCUUGGCUCUUGCAACGAUGAAGAACGCAGCGAAAUGCGAUACGUAGUGUGAAUUGCAGAAUUCCGCGAAUCAUCGAGUCUUUGAACGCAAGUUGCGCCCGAGGCUUGUCCGAGGGCAUUUCCGCUAGAGCGUCACCGCGCCCCCCACCGAUCCGCUCCCGCCGCGAGGCGCGACGCGUGUCGAGUGGAAGUGGCCGUCCCUGCGAAGCGGCCUUCUUUCACGAGGAGUCCGCACUUGGCUAAGGGUCGGCUGAAAUGGAUGGAAUCGGGCCGCCGUGGUGACACAGUCCGCGAUCGGGUGAUUUCGUCGCGAGCCUCCUCCGUGAGGCUCUCGUUGAAUUUUUCUAAGUGCUUGGCUGCGUCCCCCAGUUGGCUCGGGUUACCUCAUGCAGGUCGAGCGCGCCCCCGCGGCGCGCGUCACGCAUCAGAC